UCAUCCACUUUUUUGUAUGUGCGCAAUUCAUUUUUUUUUAAAUCCUUCAAAUCCCCUACCUUUUACCGAUUUUCCUUGAAGUGAUGAUUACAACUGUUACUUUGUGAAAGUUUAAGUCGGAAACUUGUAAUAGAAACUCUAAACGUCUUUAACUUUAGCUAGAAAAUAGAGUCUUACGGUAAGACUCUUACCGAACGCAAUAUUAUUUAUCACGGAAAAGUUAAUUUAAACAAUUAUGAAGAUAAAUUGGAUAAUGUUGGGUCUGGUUGUUCUCUCUAUUAUGAUGUCAUUAAUCAAACCGACGAGGUCAGAAGAUUUAGAUAAAAUUAAGCCCAUCGAUCCAUCAAAAUUGUGUGUGGAGCAAUACGGUGCUUGCCAGAAUAGUUGUCCACGGAUUUUAAUGCGAGAGAGUACAGAUUGUCAUUCUCCACAAAUGUGUUGUGUUCUCGUUCACAUUCAAAAAUAAAUAUC